AUUGAACGCUGGCGGCAGGCCUAACACAUGCAAGUCGAGCGGCAGCGGAAAGUAGCUUGCUACUUUGCCGGCGAGCGGCGGACGGGUGAGUAAUGUCUGGGAAACUGCCUGAUGGAGGGGGAUAACUACUGGAAACGGUAGCUAAUACCGCAUGACCUCGAAAGAGCAAAGUGGGGGAUCUUCGGACCUCACGCCAUCGGAUGUGCCCAGAUGGGAUUAGCUAGUAGGUGAGGUAAUGGCUCACCUAGGCGACGAUCCCUAGCUGGUCUGAGAGGAUGACCAGCCACACUGGAACUGAGACACGGUCCAGACUCCUACGGGAGGCAGCAGUGGGGAAUAUUGCACAAUGGGCGCAAGCCUGAUGCAGCCAUGCCGCGUGUGUGAAGAAGGCCUUAGGGUUGUAAAGCACUUUCAGCGAGGAGGAAGGCAUCAUACUUAAUACGUGUGGUGAUUGACGUUACUCGCAGGAGAAGCACCGGCUAACUCCGUGCCAGCAGCCGCGGUAAUACGGAGGGUGCAAGCGUUAAUCGGAAUUACUGGGCGUAAAGCGCACGCAGGCGGUUUGUUAAGUCAGAUGUGAAAUCCCCGCGCUUAACGUGGGAACUGCAUUUGAAACUGGCAAGCUAGAGUCUUGUAGAGGGGGGUAGAAUUCCAGGUGUAGCGGUGAAAUGCGUAGAGAUCUGGAGGAAUACCGGUGGCGAAGGCGGCCCCCUGGACAAAGACUGACGCUCAGGUGCGAAAGCGUGGGGAGCAAACAGG
rnacentral:rRNA from 1 species